GACGAACGCUGGCGGCGUGCCUAAUACAUGCAAGUAGAACGCUGAAGGAGGAGCUUGCUUCUCUGGAUGAGUUGCGAACGGGUGAGUAACGCGUAGGUAACCUGCCUGGUAGCGGGGGAUAACUAUUGGAAACGAUAGCUAAUACCGCAUAAGAGUAGAUGUUGCAUGACAUUUGCUUAAAAGGUGCAAUUGCAUCACUACCAGAUGGACCUGCGUUGUAUUAGCUAGUUGGUGGGGUAACGGCUCACCAAGGCGACGAUACAUAGCCGACCUGAGAGGGGGAUCGGCCACACUGGGAAUGAGACACGGCCCAGACUCCUACGGGAGGCAGCAGUAGGGAAUCUUCGGCAAUGGACGGAAGUCUGACCGAGCAACGCCGCGUGAGUGAAGAAGGUUUUCGGAUCGUAAAGCUCGGUUGUAAGAGAAGAACGAGUGUGAGAGUGGAAAGUUCACACUGUGACGGUAUCUUACCAGAAAGGGACGGCUAACUACGUG
rnacentral:rRNA from 1 species